UACGUAGGGUGCGAGCGUUGUCCGGGAAUUAUUGGGCGUAAAAGGGCUCGUAGGCGGUUUGUCGCGUCGGGAGUGAAAUCCACUGGCUUAACUGGUGGCUUGCUUUCGAUACGGGCAGACUGGAGGUAUGCAGGGGAGAACGGAAUUCCUGGUGUAGCGGUGAAAUGCGCAGAUAUCGGGAGGAACACCGGUGGCGAAGGCGGUUCUCUGGGCC
rnacentral:rRNA from 1 species